AGUGGCGAACGGGUGAGUAACACGUGGAUAAUCUGCCUCCGGGUUGGGGAUAACUGUCCGAAAGGAUAGCUAAUACCGAAUGAGAUGGUGGUUACAUAAGUAGCAGCCAUUAAAGGUGGGGACCGCAAGGCCUACUGCCUGGAGAUGAGUCCGCGGCUGAUUAGCUUGUUGGUGGGGUAACGGCCUACCAAGGCGACGAUCAGUAGCCGGCCUGAGAGGGUGAACGGCCACAUUGGGACUGAGAUACGGCCCAGACUCCUACGGGAGGCAGCAGUUAAGAAUCUUGCACAAUGGGCGCAAGCCUGAUGCAGCGACGCCGCGUGAAUGAUGAAGGCUUUCGGGUUGUAAAGUUCAGUAAGCAGGGAAGAAUAAGCAAGAGGUAAUAUUUCUUGUGAUGACGGUACCUGCCUAAAGCCCCGGCUAACUACGUGCCAGCAGCCGCGGUAAUACGUAUGGGGCGAGCGUUGUUCGGAAUUAUUGGGCGUAAAGGGCGUCUAGGCGGGGAUUUAAGUUAGGUGUGAAAGCUACGGGCUCAACCCGUAAACUGCAUCUAAAACUGGAUCUCUUGAGUUCGGGAGAGGAGAGCGGAAUUCCAGGUGUAGCGGUGAAAUGCGUAGAUAUCUGGAAGAACACCAGUGGCGAAGGCGGCUCUCUGGCCUAGAACUGACGCUGAAGCGCGAAAGCGUGGGGAGCGAACAGGAUUAGAUACCCUGGUAGUCCACGCUGUAAACUUUAGUACUAGGUGUUAGUGGCUUGUCCACUAGUGCCGCAGCAAACGCAUUAA
rnacentral:rRNA from 1 species